rnacentral:rRNA from 1 species
UACGUAGGGGGCAAGCGUUAUCCGGAUUUACUGGGUGUAAAGGGAGCGUAGACGGCAGUGCAAGUCUGGAGUGAAAGGCGGGGGCUCAACCCCCGGACUGCUCUGGAAACUGCAUGGCUGGAGUGCAGGAGAGGUAAGCGGAAUUCCUAGUGUAGCGGUGAAAUGCGUAGAUAUUAGGAGGAACACCAGUGGCGAAGGCGGCUUACUGGACUGUAACUGACGUUGAGGCUCGAAAGCGUGGGGAGCAAACAGG